rnacentral:rRNA from 1 species
GACGAACGCUGGCGGCGUGCUUAACACAUGCAAGUCGAACGGUGAAGCGCCUUCCUUUUUGGUGGGUGUGGAUGAGUGGCGAACGGGUGAGUAACACGUGAGUAACCUGCCCCCUUCUUCUGGAUAACCGCAUGAAAGUGUGGCUAAUACGGGAUAUUCUGGUUCUGUCGCAUGAUGGGUCUGGGAAAGAUAUUGUUUCGGUGGGGGAUGGGCUCGCGGCCUAUCAGCUUGUUGGUGGGGUGAUGGCCUACCAAGGCGGUGACGGGUAGCCGGCCUGAGAGGGUGGACGGUCACACUGGGACUGAGACACGGCCAAGACUCCUACGGGAGGCAGCAGUGGGGAAUAUUGAACAAUGGGAGCAAGCCUGAUGCAGCGACGCCGCGGGAGGGAUGGAGGCCUUCGGGUUGUGAACCUCUUUCGCCAGUGAAGCAGGCCUGCCUCGUUUGUGGGUGGGUUGACGGUAGCUGGAUAAGAAGCGCCGGCUAACUACGUG